rnacentral:snoRNA from 1 species
CUUCGGUGAUGAUACGAUGACGAGUCGGAACAGGGCUCAGUCUGGUUCUGGUGGUUUCUGGUUCAGAUCCACGUUCUGUGGUUCUGCUUCGGUUCCUCAGAACAGGGGGUCCAUUACGAUUGAAGACAUUGAGGCAUUUGUCUGAGAAGG